rnacentral:snRNA from 1 species
CGAGUUCUAUCGGGUAAA